GAUGAACGCUGGCGGCGUGCCUAAUACAUGCAAGUCGAGCGAACAGACGAGGAGCUUGCUCCUCUGACGUUAGCGGCGGACGGGUGAGUAACACGUGGAUAACCUACCUAUAAGACUGGGAUAACUUCGGGAAACCGGAGCUAAUACCGGAUAAUAUAUUGAACCGCAUGGUUCAAUAGUUAAAGACGGUUUUGCUGUCACUUAUAGAUGGAUCCGCGCCGCAUUAGCUAGUUGGUAAGGUAACGGCCUACCAAGGCAACGAUGCGUAGCCGACCUGAGAGGGUGAUCGGCCACACUGGAACUGAGACACGGUCCAGACUCCUACGGGAGGCAGCAGUAGGGAAUCUUCCGCAAUGGGCGAAAGCUUGACGGAGCAACGCCGCGUGAGUGAUGAAGGUCUUCGGAUCGUAAAACUCUGUUAUUAGGGAAGAACAAAUGUGUAAGUAACUAUGCACGUCUUGACGGUACCUAAUCAGAAAGCCACGGCUAACUACGUG
rnacentral:rRNA from 1 species